GGGUCCCUAAAAAAUAAGCCCAAUGCAUGUCUAAGUAUAAGCAAUUUAUACAGUGAAACUGCGAAUGGCUCAUUAAAUCAGUUAUCGUUUAUUUGAUAGUUCCUUUACUACAUGGUAUAACUGUGGUAAUUCUAGAGCUAAUACAUGCUUAAAAUCUCGACCCUUUGGAAGAGAUGUAUUUAUUAGAUAAAAAAUCAAUGUCUUCGGACUCUUUGAUGAUUCAUAAUAACUUUUCGAAUCGCAUGGCCUUGUGCUGGCGAUGGUUCAUUCAAAUUUCUGCCCUAUCAACUUUCGAUGGUAGGAUAGUGGCCUACCAUGGUUUCAACGGGUAACGGGGAAUAAGGGUUCAAUUCCAGAGAGGG
rnacentral:rRNA from 1 species